UCCAGAAGAUGCGAGCUAAAUCACUCUCACUGGAGGAUAAGUACAUCAAUGUAUGCAUCUUUUCAUGCUUGGAAAAGAUAAAGACAACAAGCACAGUACAAAGAGUUUUUUGGUAUUGAGGGGGAGAACACCAUCAGACAUCAUGGGAAGGGCAGAGGAGGGAGAUGAAGGUUUGCUUCUCGGUCAUGGUCAUGGUCAUGGUCAUUGCAUGGACGCAUGCAUUUCCCGAGGAGAAGCGAAUCAUCCCAGCAGCCAGCCCUACCCUUUGCUUUCUCGUCGCAGUUCACCGCUGCACUUUAACGGCGCCCGAGGGGAGGGAGAGGCAUAUCAUCCUCUGGUUUCGAGACCAUCCCUUCGUUUCAGUACCAGGAGAAAAGCACGGAGAGAGAGAGAGAGAGAGAGAGAAAAGCAAAAGCGAAGGCCACUCACAUAAACGCCACACCG
rnacentral:lncRNA from 1 species